GGAUGCCUGAAACCUGCUUAAGCAACAAUUUUUUGCUCCUCAGCUUUUCCUUCACUCUCCCAGAGGGAUGGACAAGAAAUCAGCCUGCGGGGGUUUCAAAACCGUGAAGGAGAGCAGCCAUGGGGAGGACAAAGAAGGAAGAAAAAUUAAGGCACACUGAAGCAUGAAGGAUCCCAGCUGCCACAACCAGAGAAGAAAUACACGACUGAGCCACCUCCAGCCUCCCAGCAGGCCCGGGCUCCUCACCUGCAAACCCACCCUCCACAUCUCCACACAGGAUUUAUGAUCCUAAAAGUGAAUUUUUUUGCAUUGGUUCUGUCUUGUGCUUUUUGCUGGGAAGUUGCCCAGUGCUUCCCUGAAUUACUGAAAACAUCUGGCUCUGUUUUGGGCAGGAAAAGCCACUUUUCUUGCUGUUUGUGCAGCACAGCCUCACACGAAAGGAGGGCUCAGGGCUCAGAAAGCUUCAGGAUCUUCGGAGCCUCUCAAAAGCCUUUUAAUUACCUUUGAAAUAGGACAGG